AGAUGAGGUUGCUGGGAAGGCUUCUCCAUUAGCUUGGAUGAAUAAAGUUUUGAAGCCCUUGGAGCCUCCUGCAGAUGUGUCUACAGGGAGGACUUCUCCAGCUCCUAACUUGGAUGGUAUACGCAAGCCCAGCUCCCAUCACACGGGUCCUCCACUGGAAGAGACCAAAGACAUGGCAGACAAGUAAUUCCAGAACC